AUGAUGAAAACAUUGAUAGUGAUCAGAUGAUGUUUUAAUUGUGAUCGUAUUUGUGUCUGCAGGAAAAAAAUAAAAGAAAACUUGCACAUCAGUGACCAGAAUCCCAGAUCAAACAUGUAUGGAUACAUCACACAAGGCUUACAAGUGAUGAAUUCUCCAGAAUCUUUGAAAAAAUAGUUAAGAAUCAAAUGAAAGUCCUGAAGAAUUAACUAUAAUUUUCAUGGGUGAUUGGCGUAUGGAAUGAGUUGCCAGAGGCAGCAGUGGAACCCAACACUUUAUAAGAUCAAAGGGAACCAAUAGCUUUCUGAAAAGAAACAUUUCAUUUAGUGUGAAGACCAACUAUUUCUUCUUGGCAAGUUAGACAGCUCUUUGUGAUGUUGCCUCAAGUAACCCAUUUUGCUUUGGAAAAAAAAGAUACACAGUGCUUUGCCAAGGAAUGAGACCAUCACCAAGGGGUCAAUACUUCGAUGGAAACUUAAAGUUAUAGAGAAUUCUACAUCAAGUGCUGAAAGUUCUUGAAAUAUUUUACAAAAUCUCACUUCCAGCUUAUCUCAAUCUGUACUAUCCACCACUAAUCAGUAUCCAACUAAUCUUAGCAAAACUCCCUAAAAAAAACCACAAAAGACACCAGGAAAAUCAAAAUGUACUCCAGGGCAAGCCAAAACACCAAAGACACCAGGAAACAGUGGAAACCGGUUUAUACCAUGGAGGAAUGCAUUUGGAGAUAAGUCACAAUAUGGCCAUACAGCACGAGUUCUUCAUCUUUCCAUGAGCCCUGAUGGAGCCACAGUUAUGUCGGCAGGGGCUGAUAAAAUUCUUCGACUUUGGAAAUGUUUUGCUCCACCAAAUGAUCAAAGAAAAAGGAGACAUCAAUAAGGCCUAUUCACUUUAGCAUAAGAUAACUGUUUUAUAUGUACUUUAAAAAUUGUGUAUUUGACGUUCAUACUAUAGAAUGUUUUGUCAAAUAUUUUGGCAUAGAGAUAAUUCUCUGGAAAUAAAUCUCUUAGGUUUUUA